CAAAAGUUUUCUUUCCAUUUAUCCCUCUUAAGUUUCCAGACUUAAGCAAGAGUAUGUGAAGAGUAGUGAGGGUUGCUACCUAUCUUGGAAAAAAACACAGGCCUUACUAAUUUGCAAAACUAAUUAUGUAUGCAUGACUUCACAUGAUGUAAAUCACAAGGAGUAACAUUAGUGAAAAUUCUGUAAAAUCAUCAAAAACCUACACAGUUUGAUUAUGCUGUAU